rfam:Ixodes scapularis strain Wikel colony gcontig_1108378557070, whole genome shotgun sequence.
CCUCUGCCUUGGCGGCCCUCCCCUUGCUCUGUGGGGAGGGAUCGAAUGCUUGCAGAGGAACAUGAAAGGAUGCUUUUUUGGGCCCCAAUGCCUUCGGUGCCCGUCCCACGCCCCCCUUGGGGAUACCAGGGCGGGUCCCAUCCUCGAGGAGCCCCACAAUA